rnacentral:rRNA from 3 species
GGUCAAGCGAAUAAGCGCACACGGUGGAUGCCUAGGCGGUCAGAGGCGAUGAAGGACGUGGUAGCCUGCGAAAAGUGUCGGGGAGCUGGCAACAAGCUUUGAUCCGGCAAUGUCCGAAUGGGGAAACCCACUGCUUCGGCAGUAUCCUGCAGUGAAUUCAUAGCUGCUGGAAGCGAACCCGGUGAACUGAAAUAUCUAAGUAACCGGAGGAAAAGAAAUCAACCGAGAUUCCCUAAGUAGUGACGAGCGAACGGGGAGCAGCCCUUAAGCUGGAAUGGCUUUAGAAAAACAAUCUGGAAAGAUUGGCCAUAGAAGGUGAUAGCCCUGUAUUUAAAAGGGCCACUCCAGUGAAGACGAGUAGGGCGGGGCACGUGAAACCCUGUCUGAAUAUGGGGGGACCAUCCUCCAAGGCUAAAUACUCCUGACCGACCGAUAGUGAACCAGUACCGUGAGGGAAAGGCGAAAAGAACCCCGGAGAGGGGAGUGAAAUAGAUCCUGAAACCGUGUGCGUACAAGCAGUAGGAGCUCGCAAGAGUGACUGCGUACCUUUUGUAUAAUGGGUCAGCGACUUACUGUUCGUGGCAAGCUUAACCGUAUAGGGGAGGCGAAGGGAAACCGAGUCUGAUAAGGGCGCAUAGUCGCGGGCAGUAGACCCGAAACCGGGUGAUCUAGUCAUGGCCAGGGUGAAGGUGCCGUAACAGGUACUGGAGGCCCGAACCCACGUCUGUUGCAAAAGACGGGGAUGAGCUGUGAUUAGGAGUGAAAAGCUAAUCGAACCCGGAGAUAGCUGGUUCUCCUCGAAAGCUAUUUAGGUAGCGCCUCGGACGAAUACUACUGGGGGUAGAGCACUGUUAUGGCUAGGGGGUCAUCGCGACUUACCAAACCAUUGCAAACUCCGAAUACCAGUACGUACUAUCCGGGAGACACACGGCGGGUGCUAACGUCCGUCGUGAAAAGGGAAACAACCCAGACCCACAGCUAAGGUCCCAAAUUCACUGCUAAGUGGAAAACGAUGUGGAAAGGCAUAGACAGCCAGGAGGUUGGCUUAGAAGCAGCCACCCUUUAAAGAAAGCGUAAUAGCUCACUGGUCGAGUCGGUCUGCGCGGAAGAUUUAACGGGGCUAAGCAGUGAACCGAAGCUUGGGGUGCAUAAAACUUGUUUUAUGCGCGGUAGAGGAGCGUUCCGUAAGCCUGCGAAGGUGGAUUGAGAAGUCUGCUGGAGGUAUCGGAAGUGCGAAUGCUGACAUGAGUAACGAUAAUGCGGGUGAAAAGCCCGCACGCCGAAAGCCCAAGGUUUCCUUGCGCAACGUUAAUCGACGCAGGGUUAGUCGGUCCCUAAGGCGAGGGCGAAAGCCGUAGUCGAUGGGAAGCAGGUUAAUAUUCCUGCACCUCGCGUGAGUGCGAUGGAGGGACGGAGAAGGUUAGGUGUACCGGGCGUUGGUUGUCCCGGGGAAAGGCGGUAGGUUUGGAUCUUUGGCAAAUCCGGGAUCCUUUAAGACCGAGCACCGAGACGAGCCUUUAUGGCAAAGUCACUGAUACCACGCUUCCAGGAAAAGCUCCUAAGCUUCAGCUCACGAAGACCGUACCGUAAACCGACACAGGUGGGUAGGAUGAGAAUUCUCAGGCGCUUGAGAGAACUCGGGUGAAGGAACUAGGCAACAUGGCACCGUAACUUCGGGAGAAGGUGCACCCUUUUUGGUGGCUCAUGCGAGCUAUAGCUGAAGAGGGUCGCAGAAACCAGGCCGCUGCGACUGUUUAUCAAAAACACAGCACUCUGCAAACACGAAAGUGGACGUAUAGGGUGUGACGCCUGCCCGGUGCUGGAAGGUUAAUUGAUGGGGUCAGCCGCAAGGCGAAGCUCUUGAUCGAAGCCCCAGUAAACGGCGGCCGUAACUAUAACGGUCCUAAGGUAGCGAAAUUCCUUGUCGGGUAAGUUCCGACCUGCACGAAUGGCGUAACGACAGCGGCGCUGUCUCCACCCGAGACUCAGUGAAAUUGAAAUCGCUGUGAAGAUGCAGCGUUCCCGUGGCAAGACGGAAAGACCCCGUGAACCUUUACUAUAGCUUUACACUGAACGUUGAGUUCGUCUGUGUAGGAUAGGUGGGAGGCUAUGAAACUGUGGCGCUAGCUGCAGUGGAGCCAUCCUUGAAAUACCACCCUGUCGUGCUUGACGUUCUAACCUAGAUCCGUUAUCCGGAUCAGGGACCGUGUAUGGUGGGUAGUUUGACUGGGGCGGUCUCCUCCUAAAGAGUAACGGAGGAGCACGAAGGUACGCUCAGCGCGGUCGGACAUCGCGCACUGUGUGCAAAGGCAUAAGCGUGCUUGACUGCAAGAUCGACGGAUCAAGCAGGUACGAAAGUAGGUCUUAGUGAUCCGGUGGUUCUGUAUGGAAGGGCCAUCGCUCAACGGAUAAAAGGUACUCCGGGGAUAACAGGCUGAUACCGCCCAAGAGUUCAUAUCGACGGCGGUGUUUGGCACCUCGAUGUCGGCUCAUCACAUCCUGGGGCUGUAGUCGGUCCCAAGGGUAUGGCUGUUCGCCAUUUAAAGUGGUACGCGAGCUGGGUUCAGAACGUCGUGAGACAGUUCGGUCCCUAUCUGCCAUGGGCGUUGGAAGUUUGAGAGGGGCUGCUCCUAGUACGAGAGGACCGGAGUGGACGAACCUCUGGUGUUCCGGUUGUCACGCCAGUGGCAUUGCCGGGUAGCUAUGUUCGGAAGCGAUAACCGCUGAAAGCAUCUAAGCGGGAAGCGCGCCUCAAGAUGAGACUUCCCGGGGCACAAGCCCCCUAAAGGAACCAUAUAGACUAUGUGGUUGAUAGGUCAGGUGUGUAAGUACAGCAAUGUAUUGAGCUAACUGAUACUAAUGAUCCGUGCGGCUUGACCAU